CAGUAGCCACGGUAAUACGAAGGGGGCUAGCGUUGCUCGGAAUUACUGGGCGUAAAGGGAGCGUAGGCGGAUGAAUUAGUCAGGGGUGAAAUCCCGGGGCUCAACCUCGGAACUGCCUUUGAUACUGUUCAUCUUGAGUAUGGGAGAGGUGUGUGGAACUCCAAGUGUAGAGGUGAAAUUCGUAGAUAUUCGGAAGAACACCAGUGGCGAAGGCGACACACUGGCCCAUUACUGACGCUGAGGCUCGAAAGCGUGGGGAGCAAACAGGAUUAGAUACCCCGGUAGUCCCUGUCUCUUAUAC
rnacentral:rRNA from 1 species